rnacentral:rRNA from 1 species
AAUGGCUUUCCCUCCAGAGUGGAUCCUGAGUACGGCGGAACACGUGAAAUUCCGUCGGAAUCCGGGAGGACCAUCUCCCAAGGCUAAAUACUCCCUAGUGACCGAUAGUGAACCAGUACCGUGAGGGAAAGGUGAAAAGCACCCCGGAAGGGGAGUGAAACAGUUCCUGAAACCGUGUGCCUACAAGUAGUUAGAGCCCGUUAAUGGGUGAUAGCGUGCCUUUUGUAGAAUGAACCGGCGAGUUACGAUUUGUUGCAAGGUUAAGCGGAAAAAGCGGAGCCGUAGCGAAAGCGAGUCUGAAUAGGGCGCAUAAGUAACAGGUCGUAGACCCGAAACCAGGUGAUCUACCCAUGUCCAGGAUGAAGGUAAGGUAAUACUUACUGGAGGUCCGAACCCACGCACGUUGAAAAGUGCGGGGAUGAGGUGUGGGUAGCGGAGAAAUUCCAAUCGAACUUGGAGAUAGCUGGUUCUCUCCGAAAUAGCUUUAGGGCUAGCCUCGAGGUAAAGAGUCAUGGAGGUAGAGCACUGUUUGGACUAGGGGCCCUUCUCGGGUUACCGAAUUCAGAUAAACUCCGAAUGCCAUGUACUUAUACUCGGGAGUCAGACUGCGAGUGAUAAGAUCCGUAGUCGAAAGGGAAACAGCCCAGACCACCAGUUAAGGUCCCCAAAUAUAUGUUAAGUGGAAAAGGAUGUGGGGUUGCUUAGACAACCAGGAUGUUGGCUUAGAAGCAGCCACCAUUGAAAGAGUGCGUAAUAGCUCACUGGUCGAGUGACCCCGCGCCGAAAAUGUACCGGGGCUAAACAUAUUACCGAAACUGUGGAUGAACCUCUUUAGAGGUUCGUGGUAGGAGAGCGUUCUAAGGGCGGUGAAGUCAGACCGGAAGGACUGGUGGAGCGCUUAGAAGUGAGAAUGCCGGUAUGAGUAGCGAAAGAAGGGUGAGAAUCCCUUCCACCGAAUAUCUAAGGUUUCCUGAGGAAGGCUCGUCCGCUC